GCCUACGGCCAUACCACCCUGAGAAAGGCCCGAUCCCGUCUGAUCUCGGAAGGUAAGCAGGGUCGGGCCCGGUUAGUACUUGGAUGGGAGACCACCAUGGAAAACUGGGUUACCGGGAGGCU
rnacentral:rRNA from 1 species